AACAAGGCGUACCUGCGGACCUGCGGAAGGAUCAUUAAUAAAUGUUACUUCGGUAACUUAAUUAAUCCCUAACACCUGUGCAUCUUGUCGCUUCGGCGUCAUUUUAUAAACAUCAGUGUAAUGAAUGUAACGUAUUAUAACAAAUACAACUUUUAACAACGGAUCU
rnacentral:misc_RNA from 1 species